rnacentral:lncRNA from 1 species
AUCUUCCAACAUAAACACUUAUUCACAUCAAAACCUAUACACAUGCCACAUAAUCGUGUCUAGAAUGAUUUAAAAGUCUAUCGAGAUUGAAGCUGGAUAGUGUGUGUUCUGGGGUGAUUCGAUAGACACAUUCUGCAAAAUGUCAACUACAAAAACAGAAAACAAAACAGAAUAAACAUUACGAAUACUUAUAAGUUCAUAGGUUUUAAAAACAAUAAAACUCACUUGUAAUCACAAUUAACAUACUAAUUAGCUAACUAUACAACUUCCCUGUUAUCACAUUUCACAAUGGUAAGGUGAGUUUGUAAAAUACGAGAUUUAUAAAAUUUCAAUUCGGACAAUGUAGAUUUCAUUCAGUAUCAUUCUAAUGGAAUUAUCAAACAUAAAAUCAUUUAUAGCAGUCCAAUCACAUAUAUCCAUUUCUAAUCACAAUACAUUCUAUCGUUCAGUCAUUUUUCAUUUUUAUAUUAAUUGUUUAGUCUGAUGAACUAUAAUAAACAAAUACGAAUACGUGAGUAACUACUAAACACACCAGAAAGCAACUUAGUGCUGUACAGAGGCACCGAAAUGCAAACAGUGGCACCGAAGUGCAAUCUCGUACAAGCACACAAUUGACCCUAUUGGCAUGCCAAUUGUAUCCUAUCCUAUCAUAUCAUACGUUCAUCCAGGCACAUUUAACACAACAAUUCCAUUCAUUACAAUUAAGUCCAUUUCUCACCUUAUGUAUCAUUUUGAAAACAAGUCAAAAUACAAUUACACAUUAUAAUAUCACAAUUGAAAUACACACAAUACAUUUAUGCAUAUAUCUACACCAUAUUAACUUACCUGUAAAAGCUGCUAAUGAGUUGAAGUGUAGGGACUAAUCAACAAUUUUCCCUUUUUCUUGAUUAUCUACUAAUUGAUUCAAAUCUUGAUCUAUACGUAAUUCAUUUCAAAUUAUCAGUUUAAAAUGUCUUAUAACAAUUUAUUUUAUGCAUAUGACAGUUCAGUUUCAUUUUAUAGAAAUUUUAUAAAGUUUUUCAUUUUAUUCAAUUUAGUCCCUAAAACCGAAACAAUCACAACUUUCACAUUUAAGCCCCGUUUUUCAAUCCGAUUUCAUUCACAUCCUUCUACAACCUUCUAAUAUCUAUAUUUACAGAAAUUUCAUGCCAGUUUUAAAAUUAUUACACUUUAGUUCUUAUGUUCAAAACUAACAACUUUCACUUCACAAAUUAGUCCCUUUUCAUUUCUAAGGUUAUAAACUAAAAUAUUAAAACCAAAAGUUUCAAAAAUAAUCAAUUAUAAUAUUUAAAAUCUUUAACAAUUUUACAAUUUAACACCCAAAUUAACUAAUUCAAAAUACAACCAUCUCAAAAAUAUAAAAUUUAUGAAAAACGAUCUUAGAAUCACUCACCAUGUAAGGGCCGAACCUUCAAACUCUCCAAAGCUCCCUUCCAACGGUGAGAUUCGGUGGAAGGAGGAAGAUGAAAUAAUGGUUUCUCUUUCCUUCCACGUUUAGCUAAUUAUUUUUAUUAUUAUUACAUUUUAAU